GCUGGAACUCAGAGGUCCUUUUUAGGUAUUGUAUUAGGAUCUGCAUGUGGACCCAACUCUUCCUCCUGGAUGCUCUAGGGACUGAAAAAUACUGUCUUCUGGAUGCUUUGGGUAGUGCAUGUGAUUCUAGAGCCCUCUUAUGUGUGCUUAGGGUAUUGCAGGGGGGAAUCUGUCACCAUCAUCUUCAUGCUGACAGUGCUGAAUGGGAAGGCAAUUCACUCUUCUAAAUGCAUGGGACUCUAUCGUACUCUUUUGGGUACUUCAGGAAGAUGGAAAGCGGGAUCUAUCAUCUCCUUUUGGAUACUUUGGAUAUUGUAAAGGAUUCUAUCAUGGACUUCUGGGUCUUGCAGUACUACAUGGGGAUGUUCAUGAGGAUCUGUCACCCUCUUCUGCAUGCUGUGACUUUGAGUUCCCGUCGAGACUUCCUUCAAUAAUGAACAGUGAUAUGGGAAUCUGGUGUCACAGGAGUGGUUUCAAUCCCAUGCUCGGACUCUCCCACCCUGAGCAGAGCCGCUCCUUGGGUCAGGAAGAUCUGCAUGGACAUCGCAGUACAGCUUCAUUCCCAAUUGCAGUCACCCGCCCACCCACCCAGAAUCUCUCACAGCCCUCAAAGCCUCUGCCACCUAAGGAGACCAGCAGUGAAACCUAGCUUCACUGCCGCUGCAACUGAGAUGGCACAGGCUCAAUUGCAUGCCCUUACAAGUGCAAAACUGGCCCCGCCCCCGCCCCCGCCCCCGCCUCGCCCCAGCUCACAGCGUUUGGCCUCCCCCUCCCUGCUCCAGCUCUCUGCCCCUCCCUGGGCCGCUUAGCCCUGCUGGGCUGCAGGUCCCUCAGCCACUGCCUCCACCGCCCCUGCCCAGGGCCCGAAGAGCAGGCAGUGGCUCUGUACUGGAUACUGCCACUGGAGGCUGCAACGCCCGGAGCCGGCUACUGCCCUGCUGGUUUACAAAACCGUUUCUUUUAAUGAAAUCCCGCCCAUUUUAACCUUGUAUAGUAGCCACUUUGAGAAGUUUCAGAUUACAUCGCAAUGUAU
rnacentral:lncRNA from 1 species